AGCUAGGGAAGGCCUGAGCCUCGGAACCGGGGUGAUGGCAACACCUGGCAAACACUUCUGGUGGGAAGCACGUUAGCGCAGUGUUUUGUCUGGCGGUACCUAAAUGGCUUUAACAGCCUGCCUUCUAGCUGCUUAGCUGUUUUCUGCCCAAAUUAUGUUUUCAGCAUCCUGGAUCUAGGCUAAAGCAGAGCCUGCAAAGCCCUUCUGAUGGAGCUCCGCAGGAUUUGGAAGCAGCCUCACCUGUCAAUGAGCCAGCAAGGGAUUCAUCACGGGAUCCCUCUCAGCAAUGCUGCAUGAGAAGAAGAUCCACGCCUGUCCCUGCAGAUGUGCUCCAGACGUUGCAUCUCUCCACUGCUAGCUCGGGAUGCCACUUUCCCUUGUUGUGCUUGCAAAGUGCACAAAAACCCUAACCUGCUCCAGCAGCCUCGCACUACCACCGCGUGCGGCACCGCUCGCCGUUAUUAGUAUGGCAAACGGAACAAUAUUGAUUCAGAGGAUUUGUGGUUUACCAGCAUCGUUUCCCUGUUAGCCUUCACACCGACUCAUGAAUACACAUGAAGACCCAAAUAGUUUAAGGAGUGUGAGCAUGUGAGAGCUAUUUGUUUCUGUUGGCCCCACUGCUCCCACAGGGCCACAUCCAGCACCCACGGGGACCUUCAGUGCUACCUGGAUCGUGGCCACCAAGCCCUUGUUUUUGGAGGCCUCCAUCUGCCUUUGGAGCCCAGGCCUUGCACAAUCUCCUUUAUCUCAGCGUGUGGUUGGAGGGUAACAGGCUGCCUGGCUCUUGACAGGUCAUCUAUUAAAUAUAGAUGGUGCUUUCAC
rnacentral:lncRNA from 7 species